ensembl:lncRNA SNHG5 small nucleolar RNA host gene 5
GCUGCGCACUUCGGUCUUUUACGUCGGCCUUCGCGAGCGUCUGGGCGGGUGGUAGGAACAAUGGCGCUGUCUUCAGUGGCACAGUGGAGCAGCUCUGAAGAUGCAAAGGUAAGAGCUUAGUUAAGCUUAGUUUCCAAACUAAAGGAGUAAACCUGUUGAUUUACAGGAAUAGGAACUGUUGCAUCGUUUGAAAUUUACUUUUUUUUGUUAGAUACACGAAAAAACUUCCAGAACAUCUGGGAGAAUAUUUAAUGGAAAAUCGCUUGGUUAAAACCUGACACUUUUAACAGGUAUGUGUUGUUUUAGUACUUUAUGAUUGAGCAUAGCAUUUAAUCCACACCUAGACUAAAUCAAAUUUUUUUUGUCAGUGAACAGCGUUCUGAGUGUGGACGAGUAGCCAGUGAAGAUAAUGAAUGUCGAAUGUGACUGACUAGCAGCUUCAUUUUGAAGUAGGUUGUAUGGCUUAAAAGUUCUGUAGUAUUUGUACUAUAAUACUUGCCUUUUAGCAUUACCUUGGUUUGUAGUCAGUGUCACAGAAGUGCAGUUUAAUGUAUUAUGUGUACAUAUACAAGGUCUGAUUGGUCUAAUCAAUGAUGAAACCUAUCCCGAAGCUGAUAACCUGAAGAAAAAUAAGUACGGAUUCGGCUUCUGAGAUUAAGACCAGUAAUUCAGAGGUGGAGUAAAUUUUGUUGCCGUGAUUUUAUAACAGUUGUGUUAUAAAAUCCUGGGUUUUUUUUUUUUCUGCCAACAGUGAGGGUCGCUGUCUGCCCAUUGAUAGAGGCCAGAUUGUCUUGGAAGUUCCAAAGUUGCAACGAUUUCUGUAAGUGGAGUUUUUCUGUUUGCUUAGAGAUCAGUGAAUAUUGUGUCCUUGGUCUUAUCUGUGAUGAUCUUAUCCCGAACCUGAACUUCUGUUGAAAAAAAAAAACUUUUACGGAUCUGGCUUCUGAGAUGGACCGUUAUAAGGACAAUAUUUUUUUUUAAUACUUUUAAUGCUUUUACAUAUGUUGUAAUGUUUGUAGUCUUGUAAGAAUCUCGUGUUUUUCCUUUUCUAGGGCUAGUGCCACGAGGUUUACUUGACUGUUGUGUGAAAAGCUGAUAAGAAAACCAUCCAGAAAAAAGCUCUUCGUUUUACAAACAUGAAAAUAAAACAUGUAAUUUUGGAUUAUG